rnacentral:rRNA from 1 species
CAUAAGGGUCUAAAUACCCUAAAAACUCUGGAUCCCAUAUGAUCUUGGAAGUUAAACAGGGUCAAUGCUUGGUACUUGGAUGGGAGACUGCCAAGGCAUACCAGGUGCUGUAUGC